GUGGGGAAUAUUGGACAAUGGGCGAAAGCCUGAUCCAGCCAUGCCGCGUGUGUGAAGAAGGUCUUCGGAUUGUAAAGCACUUUAAGUUGGGAGGAAGGGCAGUAAGUUAAUACCUUGCUGUUUUGACGUUACCGACAGAAUAAGCACCGGCUAACUUCGAGCCAGCAGCCGCGGUAAUACGAAGGGUGCAAGCGUUAAUCGGAAUUACUGGGCGUAAAGCGCGCGUAGGUGGUGUUGUAAGUUGGAGGUGAAAUCCCCGGGCUCAACCUGGGAACUGCCUCCAAAACUGCAUGACUAGAGUACGGUAGAGGGUAGUGGAAUUUCCUGUGUAGCGGUGAAAUGCGUAGAUAUAGGAAGGAACACCAGUGGCGAAGGCGACUACCUGGACUGAUACUGACACUGAGGUGCGAAAGCGUGGGGAGCAAACAGGAUUAGAAACCCUGGUAGUCC
rnacentral:rRNA from 1 species